AGUGAACGCUGGCGGUAGGCCUAACACAUGCAAGUCGAACGGCAGCACAGUAAGAGCUUGCUCUUACGGGUGGCGAGUGGCGGACGGGUGAGGAAUACAUCGGAAUCUACUUUUUCGUGGGGGAUAACGUAGGGAAACUUACGCUAAUACCGCAUACGACCUACUGGUGAAAGCAGGGGAUCUUCGGACCUUGCGCGAUUGAAUGAGCCGAUGGCGGAUUAGCUAGUUGGCGGGGUAAAGGCCCACCAAGGCGACGAUCCGUAGCUGGUCUGAGAGGAUGAUCAGCCACACUGGAACUGAGACACGGUCCAGACUCCUACGGGAGGCAGCAGUGGGGAAUAUUGGACAAUGGGCGCAAGCCUGAUCCAGCCAUACCGCGUGGGUGAAGAAGGCCUUCGGGUUGUAAAGCCCUUUUGUUGGGAAAGAAAAGCAGCAGGUUAAUACCCCGCUGUUCUGACGGUACCCAAAGAAUAAGCACCGGCUAACUUCGUG
rnacentral:rRNA from 1 species